rnacentral:rRNA from 1 species
UACGGGGGGAGCAAGCGUUGUUCGGAUUUACUGGGCGUACAGGGCACGCAGGUGGCUGCAUAGGUGGCGUGUGAAAGCCCCGCGCUUAACGCGGGGAGGCCACGCCAAACGGUGCGGCUCGAGCGAUGCAGAGGGUGGUGGAAUUGCCGGUGUAGUGGUGAAAUGCGUAGAGAUCGGCAGGAACACCAAGGACGAAGGUAACCACCUGGGCAUCAGCUGACACUCAUGUGCGACAGCGUGGGGAGCGAACCGG